rnacentral:lncRNA from 1 species
UCCGCCUCCGCUGUCACUCAGGAGGUGAGAGGGGCGUGUCCGGAUAAACUAUCCAACCAGAGGCGCCCUUGGAAAGGUGGGGGCGGGACGACGCGACGCCAGCCGGUUUGGAGGACGCUACGCUCGGCCGCUCUGCCCCUCGCGUCUCGCUGCUGCUGGAGGACUUCAGGUGGCCCCGGGACCGUGAGGGCCGCGGGAGGUGGGGAAGGAAGCCGGGAGAUGAUGCCAGCUUCAUCCUCCGUGGGGCCAGCAUCAUCUAUCAGCUGUUACUCCUGCCUGGUGCAUUUCAGUCAGGUGCAGUAUUUUCAUUCUCGUGCUGCACAGAUGAAUUUAGUGAAACGAUUAGAUUGUUUGCGGAUGUCUUUAUGAGUGGAAAGCGCAGAACGAGCCCCUAGAGGUUGUGGUAUAAAAUCCUUGGGCCUCCGCUUUCAUUGCCUUUCCCGGGCGACUGCAUCCUGGGAAAUUUCUCUGGAUCGAAGUUGUGCUCUGCAAACUUUGCAGGUGCACCAGGCCACCUCUCCGCCAUCCCGGUUUACUGCCUCGCUAUAAAGGACACCAUGCGCCUU